rnacentral:rRNA from 1 species
ACCCGCUGAACUUAAGCAUAUCAAUAAGCGGAGGAAAAGAAACCAACAGGGAUUGCCCCAGUAACGGCGAGUGAAGCGGCAACAGCUCAAAUUUGAAAUCUGGCCCCCAGGGUCCGAGUUGUAAUUUGGAGAGGAUGCUUUUGGUGCGGUGCCUUCCGAGUUCCCUGGAACGGGACGCCAUAGAGGGUGAGAGCCCCGUCUGGUCGGAUGCCAAACCUCUGUAAAGCUCCUUCGACGAGUCGAGUAGUUUGGGAAUGCUGCUCAAAAUGGGAGGUAUAUGUCUUCUAAAGCUAAAUAUUGGCCAGAGACCGAUAGCGCACAAGUAGAGUGAUCGAAAGAUGAAAAGCACUUUGAAAAGAGGGUUAAAUAGUACGUGAAAUUGUUGAAAGGGAAGCACUCAUGACCAGACUUGGGCCCGGUGAAUCAUCCAGCGUUCUCGCUGGUGCACUUUGCCGGCCCAGGCCAGCAUCAGUUCGUCGCGGGGGAAAAAGGCUUCGGGAACGUGGCUCCCUCGGGAGUGUUAUAGACCGUUGCAUAAUACCCUGCCUCGGACUGAGGUUCGCGCUCCGCAAGGAUGCUGGCGUAAUGGUCAUCAGUGACCCGUCUUGAAACACGGACCAAGGAGUCGUCCUCGUAUGCGAGUGUUCGGGUGUCAAACCCCUACGCGUAAUGAAAGUGAACGCAGGUGAGAGCUUCGGCGCAUCACCGACCGAUCCUGAUGUUCUCGGAUGGAUUUGAGUAAGAGCAUACGGGGCCGGACCCGAAAGAAGGUGAACUAUGCCUGUAUAGGGUGAAGCCAGAGGAAACUCUGGUGGAGGCUCGCAGCGGUUCUGACGUGCAAAUCGAUCGUCAAAUAU